rnacentral:lncRNA from 1 species
AGAAAGGUACUUGAUAUUCUUAUAAAAGAUUAAGAGAAAGUAUUUCUUGAAGGAGAUUGGGAACAUAGAAAUGAACCCAAAACCUACAACGACGUGAUAUGAGGAAUCAUGUAGUUACAUGAAGAUCAGUGGGAGGGUCCCACGCUGACAUCGGUUAUGAUGUGGUUACAUAUAGAAUUAUCUUAUCAAAGACCUAGGUCAAACAUUCUGAAAAUAAAGGUCUAUAGAGAUAGAUCUUGAAAGAAUAUUUAUUUUUCAUA